rnacentral:tRNA from 1 species
GGCCCGUUGGUGAAAUGGUUAACACGCCACCCUCUCAAGGUGGUAUUCAUGGGUUCGAACCCCAUACGGGUCACCA